rnacentral:rRNA from 1 species
UACGGGGGGGGUAAGCGUUGUUCGGAAUUACUGGGCGUAAAGGGCUCGUAGGCGGCCAACUAAGUCAUACGUGAAAUCCCUCAGCUUAACUGGGGAACUGCGUGUGAUACUGGAUGGCUUGGAUUUGGGAGAGGGAUGCGGAAUUCCAGGUGUAGCGGUGAAAUGCGUAGAUAUCUGGAGGAACACCGGUGGCGAAGGCAGCUCGCUGGGACGGUACUGACGCUGAGGCGCGAAAGCGUGGGGAGCAAACAGG